NNNNNNNNNNNNNNNNNNNNNNNNNNNNNNNNNNNNNNNNNNNNNNNNGCUGGCGCCCGGCAGCCCCCAGCAGCUGCGGGAGAACCUGGGGGCCCUGCAGGUGGGGGGGGGCAGCGCCCGGACGCCUGGGCCCCCGAGCGGGGGAGGGGGACACCCGGACGCCUGGGUCCAUGGGGUUGGUGGCACCUGGACACCUGGGCCCCUGAGCGGGGGGGGCACUUGGACACCUGGGUCCCCAGGGGUGGUGGCACCUGGACACCUUGAUCCCUGGGGGUGGUGGCACCUGGACACCUGGGUCCCUGUGGGUGGUGGCACUUGGACUCCUGGGUCCCUGGGGGUGGUGGCACCUGGACAUCUGGGUCCAUGGAGUGGUGGCACUUGGACACCUGGGUCUCUGGGUGACGGGCGCCGCAGUUCUUUCGGGUGCUGAACGGGUACAAGAUCGAGCACAAGCUGCUGCUGACGGGGACGCCGCUGCAGAACAACCUGGAGGAGCUCUUCCACCUCCUCAACUUCCUCACGCCCGAGCGCUUCAAGUGCGUCCCCUCCGCGUCCCCUCGCGUCCCCCCGGGUCCUUUACACCCCUCCGGGUCCCCUCGUGUCCCCCCGAAUCCCCUCGUGUCCCUCUGCAUCCCCCCACGUCCCUCUGGGUCCCCUCACGUCCUCCUGCAUCUCCCCGCGUCUCCUCGUGUCCCUCCGGGUCCCCUCACGUCCCUCUGGGUCCCCUCGUGUCCCCCCGGGUCCCCUCACAUCCUCCUGCAUCUCCCCAUGUCUCCUCGUGUCCCUCUGGGUCCCCCCACGUCCUUCCGGGUCCCCUCGUGUCCCCCCGGGUCCCCUCACGUCUUCCUGCAUCUCCCUGCGUCUCCUCGUGUCCCUCUGGGUCCCCCCACGUCCCUCUGGGUCCCCUUGUGUCCCCCCGGGUCCCCCCAUGUCCUCCUGUGUCUCCCCGUGUCUCCUCGUGUCCCUCUGGGUCCCCCCACAUCCCUCCGGGUCCCCUUGUGUCCCCCUGGGUCCCCUCACGUCCUCCUGCGUCUCCCCGCGUCUCCUCGUGUCCCUCUGGGUCCCUCCA
rnacentral:lncRNA from 1 species